CCUCCUACGCCCAGUCCCCCACAGCUCACUCUCAUCCUCUCCUUCUAGAAAAAAGCUCACUCAUCUCAAGGUCACUUCCUGUGACUCCCCCAGCGCCGGCGACCGGACCCCGCUCCCGUGCCUCUCCGCCGCUGGCCUCGACGGCGUCCUCCUCCUUCCGCUUCCUCCAGGCGACUGGAGACUACGCUGCUCUCGCGGAGGGCUAGGUGACCCAGGCUCACCCAGCGGGAUGCGCCAAGAGAGGUGGUGAGGUGGAGGGGCGGAUCUCGUUUCCACGGGAUUCUCUGCCGUGGCCUCCGCCACCGGAGUUCGGUGGCUCUGGGUCGGCCUCCUCUCCGCCACCGACGCCGUCCGCCGCCAAAUGAGCUCCCUCCCACAUCAGAUGUCUUCAACGCCGCUGACCAUGGCGGCAUCACUCUGGCCGGGCUCACUACCGACGGACGGUCCUCUCCGGCUUCCUCCCCUGCGAGUGCAUCACCCACGGCUUCGUCUACGACGCGCAGAAUGUGUGAGAGACCAUUAAUUUCAAUCCCCCCUCCACCGGUGGAGGGGCAUACCUCGUCUCCACUGGAUCCGCAGCCACCGCCACCGGCGUUCGAUGCCUCUGCGUCGUUCUGUAAUCUUAACCCUCACUCUUCUUCACGCGGCGGCAUCCGAUCGGACGAUGAUGAUGCUGGAGGUCGACGUGGCGGGGACAUCGACGCCCGUGGAUGAGGCAAAGGGGCUCUGAAUCGGCGGCUGGAGGAGGCCAUCAGCGGGCAGAUAAAUAAAGAGUUUAAAGCUUAUGUUGAGCAAGGCCAGAGUGAAGUGGUCACUGGAAUAGUACAGAUGACGUGGGUUUUUUCGAGUAUGUUGAAGCACUGGUGAUCUUAGUGUCCCUCUUAGACAGCCGUCUUGAGAAUCGUGGUGCAUAUCCUGUAGAGUUUGGUGUGGUAAGCCUAAUUAUGCAAUUAAUGUGUCUAUUUUGGAUGUUUGUCUAUAUGACGGGCUUUAGUUCAUCACUGAGAAUAACCUGAUGUCCUAUGUAUUGUUAAUUUUAUGUAUUGAUUGUUCCCCAUUAACCCCUAUAUAAAUUAAUUUAUAAGCAAACAAAAUGAGUAUUGUGAAAUUUUCCAGUGCCAACCAUAUGAUAUCAAUACGCAGUUACCAUGUCAAAUACAUGUGCCUUUUCUAUUUUCAAACUCGUGGCCUGUAUGUUGCUUAGACAAAUAGUUCUUGGGUUCGUGGUUUUGAUACAUUUCGAAUACUUGCUCAUGCAUAUGGUUAAUUCUUAUGAUAGUUCUUUUUUGGUUCUUGACGACUAACAUAGUUUUGGUUCUUUGUAAAACCCAGUAGCAUAGCAAACAUAGUUUAUACACAUGAAUUGUGGUUUAGAACCAUGCAUUAAGUAAAACAACAAACCUAAAUUUGCAACCAUACGUGUACUUGGCCACAUAUCCAAAAUAUUGUUUCAAGGUAUCUCAAACUCAGCUAAUCAUUUUGUUGUUUGCUUCGUCCAAUCCCACUUCAGUUUUAUACUAUUGAGAGUUGCAAUCUCUGCCGUGCCGCUUCCUAAAUUCAGCAAAAACAUAUCACGUUCAGGCGGUAGGAAGAACAACUUGAUGUACUACUGAUUUGGUAGCAUUCCGAACGUGUGUUGUGUUGUUUAAUCACACAAAAAUUCUACUUGUUUAUGAUCAAUUGAACACUGUACAACUUGGUUUUGACCGGGUAACCAUUAUCUAAGAAUGUUCAUAUUUCGUUGGUCAAAUUGAAUCUUCCAAAGCAACAUGGUAUCUGUUCUCGAGCUCUUCCCCAUUGAGCCAGAAAUCUUAGCAGAUUGGCUUCACAAACAAAGGUCACCUCUUUCUUUUGUAUAUGUUAUGCUCCCUAGCAAAAAUCUUAGUGAAUAUGAUUUGGUUUCAAAAAUAAAGGUCAUUGCUUUCAUACACGUUUGAAAAGGAAUAUGACUUCGAUCCAAUUGUUUCAU